rnacentral:rRNA from 1 species
ACGCGAGGAACCUUACCAGGUCUUGACAUCCCAUUGACCGCUAUGGAGACAUAGCUUUCCCUUCGGGGACAGUGGUGACAGGUGGUGCAUGGUUGUCGUCAGCUCGUGUCGUGAGAUGUUGGGUUAAGUCCCGCAACGAGCGCAACCCUUGAUCUUAGUUGCCAGCAUUAAGUUGGGCACUCUAAGGUGACUGCCGGUGACAAACCGGAGGAAGGUGGGGAUGACGUCAAAUCAUCAUGCCCCUUAUGACCUGGGCUACACACGUGCUACAAUGGAUGGUACAAAGGGCUGCAAAACCGCGAGGUUAAGCGAAUCCCAUAAAACCAUUCUCAGUUCGGAUUGUAGGCUGCAACUCGCCUACAUGAAGCUGGAAUCGCUAGUAAUCGCGGAUCAGCAUGCCGCGGUGAAUACGUUCCCGGGCCUUGCACACACCGCCCGU